rnacentral:rRNA from 1 species
UACGUAGGGUGCGAGCGUUAAUCGGAAUGACUGGGCGUAAAGGGUGCGUAGGCGGUUUGCUAAGACGGAUGUGAAAUCCCUGGGCUCAACCUAGGAACAGCAUACGUGACUGGCAGGCUAGAGUAUCGAAGAGGGGGGUAGAAUUCCACGUGUAGCAGUGAAAUGCGUAGAGAUGUGGAGGAGUACCGAUGGCGAAGGCAGCCCCCUGGUCAGAUACUGACGCUGAGGCACGAAAGCGUGGGGAGCAAACAGG